AGUAAAAUGGCUGAUUAAAGCGAUAAAUUGUAAAUUUAUUUAUGAAUAAAUUCUUUUACU
rnacentral:tRNA from 1 species